rnacentral:rRNA from 1 species
GACGAACGCUGGCGGCGUGCUUAACACAUGCAAGUCGAACGGAAAGGCCCUGCGUGUGUGGGGUGCACGAGUGGCGAACGGGUGAGUAAGACGUGUGUGACCUGCCCUAGCCUUUGGGAUAAUGUCAGGAAACUGGGGCUAAUCCCGGACAGGAGCGCCUGUUGCAUGGAGGGGGUUGGAACGUUUGGGUGGUUGGGGAUGGACUCGAGGCUUAUCUGCUUGUUGGUGGGGUAGUGGCUUACCAAGGCUUUGCAGGGACGCGGGCCUGGGAGGGUGACCGGCCACAUUGGGACUGAGAUGCGACCCAGCCUCCUCCGGUAGGCAGCAGUGCGGAGUAGUGCAUAGUGGGCGGAAGCCUGAUGCAGCCACGCCGCGUGGGGGAUGACGGCCUGGGGGUUGUAUUCUGCUUCCGCCUGUGACGAAGCGUUAGUGACGGUAAUGGGUGAAGAAGCACCGGCUAACUACGUG